AGAGUUUGAUCAUGGCUCAGAGCGAACGUUAGCGGCGGGCUUAACACAUGCAAGUCGAGCGAGAAAAGGGCUUCGGCCCCCAGUAAAGCGGCGGACGGGUGAGUAACACGUAGGUAAUCUUCCUUCGAGCGGGGGACAACGUUCCGAAAGGGACGCUAAUACCGCAUACGUUCCCAGAGACCUCGGUCCCUGGGAGGAAAGCUAGGUCGGUCGCAAGACUGGUCCGGCACUCGAUGAGGAGCCUGCGUCGCAUCAGCUAGUUGGUGGGGUAACGGCCUACCAAGGCGAAGACGCGUAGCUGGUCUGAGAGGAUGAUCAGUCACACUGGGACUGAGACACGGCCCAGACUCCUACGGGAGGCAGCAGUGGGGAAUAUUGGACAAUGGGCGCAAGCCUGAUCCAGCCACGCCGCGUGAGUGAUGAAGGCCUUCGGGUCGUAAAGCUCUGUGGGGAGGGACGAACCGCUGGAGGUUAAUAGCUUCCAGCAUGACGGUACCUCCUAGCAGCC
rnacentral:rRNA from 1 species